AGUUGGUGGCUUGAGUUGUCUGGUUAAUUCCGUUAACGAACGAGACCUUAACCUACUAAAUAGUCACGCUAUCUAUACUAUCAAACCCUUGCAGAGGCGUUUGGUCGUCGGUUCUUCGGAACUGUUCGAUCCCCUCGGCUCGGGCGGUUUAGAUGGUGGCAGUACUUCUUAGAGGGACCAUUGACGUUUAGUCAAAGGAAGUUUGAGGCAAUAACAGGUCU
rnacentral:rRNA from 1 species